CUGGAAAACGGGUGGUAAUGCCGGAUGCUCCGGUUGGAUGCAUGUCCUUCCGGGAAAGAUCCGUCGGUAUGGGAUGGGGUCGCGUCCUAUCAGCUUGAUGGCGGGGUAACGGCCCACCAUGGCUUCGACGGGUAGCCGGCCUGAGAGGGCGACCGGCCACAUUGGGACUGAGAUACGGCCCAGACUCCUACGGGAGGCAGCAGUGGGGAAUAUUGCACAAUGGGCGCAAGCCUGAUGCAGCGACGCCGCGUGCGGGAUGGAGGCCUUCGGGUUGUAAACCGCUUUUGAUCGGGAGCAAGCCCUUCGGGGUGAGUGUACCCUUCGAAUAAGCACCGGCUAACUACGUGCCAGCAGCCGCGGUAAUACGUAGGGUGCAAGCGUUAUCCGGAAUUAUUGGGCGUAAAGGGCUCGUAGGCGGUUCGUCGCGUCCGGUGUGAAAGCCCAUCGCUUAACGGUGGGUCUGCGCCGGGUACGGGCGGGCUGGAGUGCGGUAGGGGAGACUGGAAUUCCCGGUGUAACGGUGGAAUGUGUAGAUAUC
rnacentral:rRNA from 1 species